AUGGAAAAAGAAGACGACGAAUUUCCUUUGGAGGGGAAGGAUAAAAUCGUAGAUUCUAACAAUAGGGUGAAAGAGCUGAAACUUUUCACGGCGACAUGCAGCAUGGAUCGUUACGAUGUCAGUAUCAUGAUUAAAAAGGGUCCUGGAAUAACGGAAGAUACAUACAAUCUCAUGAAGGACUUCCAACAUAACACAAUCAUACCACAUCGCAACUUCUACCGCGACCGCGACAGCAAUCAAGGAAGGUUAGCUAUACCUGAUGCAGGAACAUCAUUCAAGUCCUGGGUAGGAAGCAGUGAAGGGAAAGAUCUUCUGAUUGAUGGAAAUGGAAACAUGUCAUCAUUGUUCAAAAGUAUGAUAAUUGAUAUUUGUGAUGCUGUGGAGAAAUCAUCUGCAAAGGGGAUUCUGAUAAAAAAAACCUUGAUUGGAAUAAUCUUUACAUUGCAAAGGAAACAACUCAGAGGAUUCUUCUCCUAG
rnacentral:rRNA from 1 species